UGCCAAAAUGCAAUUGAUCUACCUUCAAGUUUAUAAAUUAGAGGCUUGACAUGCAUCUUUAUUUAUUUAUUUUUUUGGAUUUUUUUCUAUAUUAUCCAUCUGACAUGUAUUUUGCAUUUAUGCAGACCUUUAGUCACACUUGUCUACCCCUUGUAUGCUUCUGUGAAAGCAAUAGAAUCCAAAUCUCCAGAAGAUGAUCAGCAGUGGCUUACCUACUGCGUGCUGUAUUCUUUAGUUACUUUGUUUGAGUUGACAUUUUCUACCCUCAUUGAAUGACUUCAAUUUUGGCCUUAUGCAAAGCUAAUAUUUAACUGCUGGCUGGUUUUACCAUACUUCAGUGGUGCCACAUUUAUUUAUGAGAAUUUUGUGAGACCUAUGGUUUUGAAUCAACAGACCUUGAACCUUUGGUCUCUCUCUUCAAAAAGUGGCACCUUUGGCAAGCCAGAUGACGUUCUAUUAGCCGCUGAGAAAUUUAUUGAGCAAAAUGGAACAGAAGCAUUUGAAAAACUUAUAAGCAAGGCUGGAGGCUUGUCCAAUCCCAA